UGUUUGGUUUCUUGUUUCGGUCUUGAGACAACAGUUACUCACGACUUUAAAAAUGACAAGCAAGAUUAUGAUUGAUUGAAGUCUGUAAGUCUUGUUUAUGUUCAAAGAUUGGAUAAUUGAAUCUGAUUGUCUAUAUAAUGCUGUCUGGGCAGCAUAACUUCAAGUCUCUGCAUAGAAUUGCCUUCAUUAAGGCUUUUCUAAUGAUGUCGUAAGAACGAGAAAUUCAAUGAUAUGCUUAUAAGACUUGUCUAAUGAUGUCUGAAUGGGGAAUUCUCUUGCAAGGAUGGAGGAAUAAGCAAGCAAGCUGUGAUUAACACUGUAACACUUGUCACAGUUCUAUAUAUUGCUAGGUGGGCAGCAUAACUUCAAGUUUCUGCAUGGAUUUGCCUUUAUUUUAAGGCUUUUCUAAAACUCAAUGAUCUGCAAAUUGAUGGAGAGUAAAUUCCAUGUUCUACUAUAGAACUCAAUGAUCUGCUUAUUGAUGGAGAAUAAAUGUUCUUUUAUAGAACUCAAUGAUCUGCUUAUUAAUAGAGAUAAAGUAUCUUUUAUAAGACUUGUCUAAUGAUAACUGAUUGGAAAAUGCAUUAAAACAUGUAGUUAAUCCUCUUUGCAUAGCUCUUGAAACUCUUCCUGUUAGCGAAGGCACAUCAUUGUGCAACGCUUGAUGGGUCGAGGCUCGAGCAAGGCGAGAAAGGGAGAGAGAGAUAAGGCACCAAAGGUAAGUCAUCACGAAUCUCACUGAGAUAUGAUAUUCAGUGGGACAUUUUGUUCUAACUUACAAUAUUCUGCAUUAAAAAGUCCAACGUGCAGACUGUAUCUUUCCCUCUUUUAAUCAGGUAAGUGUCUCUUUCGCCUUCCAAAACAAGGUAUGAUUUUCGUAAUAUUUUUCCUUGAUGGAGUUUUUAGUUCGUUAAUUGAUUACAACCUUAGAUCACAUAGUCUUUUAUAACUAUUUAUCUGUUUUUUUAGUUUCACAAGACCAAGAAAAUGGAGUAAGUGUACGUGAUCUUUCUCAGGAACCGUAAAGAAGGCAUUGUGUACAUGCGUAAGAU
rnacentral:lncRNA from 1 species